CAGUAGCCGCGGUAAUACGUAGGGUGCAAGCGUUAAUCGGAAUUACUGGCGUAAAGCGUGCGCAGGCGGUUUCGUAAGACAGAUGUGAAAUCCCCGGGCUUAACCUGGGAACUGCAUUUGUGACUGCGAGGCUAGAGUGUGUCAGAGGGGGGUGGAAUUCCACGUGUAGCAGUGAAAUGCGUAGAUAUGUGGAGGAACACCGAUGGCGAAGGCAGCCCCCUGGGAUAACACUGACGCUCAUGCACGAAAGCGUGGGGAGCAAACAGGAUUAGAUACCCGCGUAGUCCCUGUCUCUUAUACA
rnacentral:rRNA from 1 species